rnacentral:rRNA from 1 species
AGGAUGAACGCUGGCGGCGUGCCUAAUACAUGCAAGUCGAACGAGGUCUUCGGACCGAGUGGCGAACGGGUGAGUAACACGUUGGUACCUACCCCGAAGUGGGGAAUAACUGCCCGAAAGGGUGGCUAAUACCGCAUAAUACCGCAAGGUUAAAGCAGUAAUGCGCUUCGGGAGGGGCCUGCGUCCCAUUAGCUAGUUGGUAGGGUAAUGGCCUACCAAGGCGACGAUGGGUAGCUGGAUCGAGAGGUUGACCAGCCACACUGGGACUGAGAUACGGCCCAGACUCCUACGGGAGGCAGCAGUAAGGAAUCUUCCACAAUGGACGAAAGUCUGAUGGAGCAACGCCGCGUGCAGGAUGACGGCCUUCGGUGUAAACUGCUUUUAUAUGGGAAGAUUAUGACGGUACCAUAUGAAUAAGGACCGGACUAACUACGCGCCAGCAGCCGC